rnacentral:lncRNA from 1 species
CAACGACACAACAUUAAAAUGUAACACACACAGAAACGGACUAAGCAUUAGACAAAAUCCUAUGAGAAUAACAAAUAUAACAUCAAAACCAAAUACAUGAAUUUGGGAUAGAUAAGUACCGUGACACGUCUUAUAGUAAUGUGAAUUCACACUCAAAAAUAAGAGAAAACAAACGAUACAACGGAAACACAACGCUAAAAUGUAACACACAC